rnacentral:misc_RNA from 1 species
UUUCCGUAGGUGAGCCUGCGGAAGGAUCAUUAUCGUAAAACCGAGGUGCGAGGGCUGUCGCUGACCUUUUCGGUCGUGCACGCCCGAGCGCUCUCACACAAUCCAUCUCACCCCUUGUGCACCACCGCGUGGGUCCCUUUCUGGCUCGUCCGGAGGGGGGCUCGCGUUUUCAUACAAACUUGAAGUAGUGUAGAAUGUCCUUUUUUUGCGAUAACACGCAAUCAAUACAACUUUCAACAACGGAUCUCUUGGCUCUC